rnacentral:rRNA from 1 species
CAUAUCAAUAAGCGGAGGAAAAGAAACCAACAGGGAUUGCCCUAGUAACGGCGAGUGAAGCGGCAACAGCUCAAAUUUGAAAUCUGGCCUUCGGGUCCGAGUUGUAAUUUGCAGAGGAUGCUUUUGGCGCGGUGCCUUCCGAGUUCCCUGGAACGGGACGCCUUAGAGGGUGAGAGCCCCGUACGGUUGGACACUAAGCCUCUGUAAAGCUCCUUCGACGAGUCGAGUAGUUUGGGAAUGCUGCUCUAAAUGGGAGGUAAAUUUCUUCUAAAGCUAAAUACCGGCCAGAGACCGAUAGCGCACAAGUAGAGUGAUCGAAAGAUGAAAAGCACUUUGAAAAGAGGGUUAAAUAGCACGUGAAAUUGUUGAAAGGGAAGCGUUUACGGCCAGACCUUUUCCUGGCGGAUCAUCCGGUGUUCUCACCGGUGCACUUCGCCUGGUUUAGGCCAGCAUCGGCUUCUGUAGGGGGAUAAAAGCAGUGGGAAAGUAGCUCCCUCGGGAGUGUUAUAGCCCUAAGCAUAAUACCCUU